AACUUAAGCAUAUCAAUAAGCGGAGGAAAAGAAACUAACAAGGAUUCCCCUAGUAACUGCGAGUGAAGCGGGAAAAGCUCAAAUUUAAAAUCUGGCGGUCUUCUGGCCGUCCGAGUUGUAGUCUGGAGAAGCGUUUUCCGCGUUGGACCGUGUACAAGUUUCCUGGAACGGAGCGUCAUAGAGGGUGAGAAUCCCGUCUUUGACACGGACCCCAAUGCUUUGUGAUGCGCUCUCAAAGAGUCGAGUUGUUUGGGAAUGCAGCUCAAAAUGGGUGGUGAAUUCCAUCUAAAGCUAAAUAUUGGCGAGAGACCGAUAGCGAACAAGUACCGUGAGGGAAAGAUGAAAAGCACUUUGGAAAGAGAGUUAAACAGUACGUGAAAUUGUUGAAAGGGAAACGCUUGAAGUCAGUCGCGUCGGCCGGGACUCAGCCUUGCAUCCGCUUGGUGUACUUUCCGGUCGACGGGCCAGCAUCAGUUUUGACCGCGAGAUAAAGGCGGGGGGAAUGUGGCUCUCUCGGGAGUGUUAUAGCCCUUCGUCAGAUGUCGCGGUUGGGACUGAGGAACUCAGCACGCCUUUAUGGCCGGGGCUCGCCCACGUACGUGCUUAGGAUGCUGGCGUAAUGGCUUUAAACGACCCGUCUUGAAACACGGACCAAGGAGUCUAACAUGCCUGCGAGUGUUCGGGUGGAAAACCCGUGCGCGCAAUGAAAGUGAAAGUUGGGAUCCCUGUCGUGGGGUGCACCGACGCCCGGCCCAGACCUUUUGUGACGGAGCUGCGGUAGAGCAUGUAUGUUGGGACCCGAAAGAUGGUGAACUAUGCCUGAAUAGGGUGAAGCCAGAGGAAACUCUGGUGGAGGCUCGUAGCGAUUCUGACGUGCAAAUCGAUCGUCAAAUUUGGGUAUAGGGGCGAAAGACUAAUCGAACCAUCUAGUA
rnacentral:rRNA from 1 species